CUAUCCGGUUCAUUUUUUCAUUGGUGAGAUAG
rnacentral:scRNA from 1 species